UGUGUCUCUUGUGAGCUUACUUCCCAUAUGUUUCAUACUCUCUGGCGCAGUUGUUACAACUUGUGCGAAACAUUUUCAGCCGUAAGAGGGCGUUCGGGCAAAAAAUCUGUUCUAAAAUUUGCUGAGGUUUCUGGAUUUAUUCUUCAAAAAGACACUAUUGUAGACACGUAUGGAAUAGCUAUGACUUUAUUUGUGAAUUAGGUGAUGGUAAGGACAUGUAAAAAACGUAAUAGCAUCUUUAACGUGCAGUUUUUGUCGUGGAUUUAGUAAAGUGAGGAUCGAAAUUUUAUGUUUUAGUAAAAUUUCGUCUGCUUUUCGUCAUUUCAUUCAUUCAACCAGACCACAUAUUUCUACUUGAAUGCGCUAAAUUGUAACAAUUUACAAGGUUCGAUGUCUGACUCUGAUGUCUGAGUUUCCCACGUCAAUGGCGUCAUAAAUAUUGCUUCGUGAUGUCCUAGUGAACAGUAUCUCUUGCAGUUGCAGAUUUGAACAAUAUCAUGUUAGCAAAAUUAGCAUUGCCAUUGUUUGCCUGACGGAUGAAACCAUGCGAUGGCGGUAUGGAGAACUGUUGAAAUUCCUUGUGGCAAUAGCUGCAGGAAUUUUCAUCAAGACCUUCUUCGACUUGGGAAUGCAGAGGUUCGAUUGCACCAAAUGCCGAGAGCACUGUCGAAAGGAACUCGAAGAAAUCGACAUUAUUCGUCCAGACUUGCAACAGCAACUAAGGGAGCAAUUUAAACCUCAGGUGCUGUAUGAUGUAUUACAUUAUGACUAUUUCACUGGAAAACACAUGUUUAGUUUUGCUGCUGAUAAACCCAAGGUGAUGCUGCGUGGUCAUGAAAAAAGCGAUAUCAAAGACGUGGUGGCACAAGCCAUGACGUUGUUUAGUAUCACGAAACAUUCAGAGGUACCACACAAAUGGGAGCUAAAAUCGGUCCAGAAUGGUUUCAGGAGGUACGAUCCUUUACGAGGUGAGGAAUAUGUUCUGGACAUAACGAUGCAAUCUCGGACAGAAAAUCCAACUCAGAUAGGGACAUUCAGGAUGGAGUUGGUAAAACCGUAUGGGCCUGCACAGCUGGUCAGUUUAUUUCCCAUAAAACAACGGCCCGUCAUUCACUUCCUUCUUCCCAUGUCCUACACAGUCAAUUCCAGCCAACUCGACCAAUUCCUGCGUGACUUUGAAAAUAGCUGUCUUAAAACCAAAGAGUCGGUGACUAUGUUUGUUUUGCUGUAUAUUGCACCGAAUGUGCAUGCAGAACGACGGGCCACAGAAAUUAAAACAAGGCUCAUGUCCACAAGAAUGAAGUAUCUUGGGUCACGUAUCCGGGUUAUUCAGACAAAGAAAGAGCCUUCCAGGGCUUAUUUAUUAGACUUGGGUAUGAAACAGCUUGGCAACGAUGUCCUAACGUCUUUCAUAAACUUGGAUGUGUCAUUUUCGCAAGGAUUUCUAGAUCGUUGUCGAUAUAAUCCAAUAGUUGGAAAGCGUGUGUUCUAUCCUGUUGGAUUUAUGAGAUAUAAUCCAGAGAUUGUCGGCAAGUAUUCACCUGAGGAGAAAGAUUGGAAUGAUAUCAACAACAAAUUAGGUUACUGGGCGCAGGACAAGUAUGACGUCAUAUGCAUGUACACUCAGGACUAUAGGAAUGUGCAAGGGUUUGACCUGUCAAUCAAGAAAUGGGGGGAGGAGUCAGUGGAACUCAAUAAAAAGCACAUUAAACGUGGAUAUCAGAUAUUCCGAGCCAUCGACCCUGGGCUGUCGAGGAUGUUUUAUAACAUGCAAUGUGAUACUAGUCUCCAACCUGCUGAAUAUGAUAGCUGCAUCGCUGAACUAGCACAACGCCUCGGCUCUAGGGCGCAGCUCGCCAAGAAGAUUCUGCUGAAAAAUAAUAAAUCAUGAGUUUCUAAUUUUCGGGUAGUGAUGACUGUCCUCAACUAAAUCAAGAAGCUGUAUGAUGACCUGGCUGAAAAGAGACUGCUUACACAACCUCGACCAGCUUAUCAGACUGGUCGACUUCGUGAAUCAACUGGAACCUGAAAAAUGUUGCUGCCAUCUUUUAAGUUGAUGGUAUACUACACUUAGUCACUCUUCUCCGGUUGCAUGAAAGCGUUAUCGAUACCUGGUUGAGGCUAUACUUGUUAAUUUCUCUCAUGUGAAAAAGAAACUCCGAAGAUAUCGAUGAUUUGAGGCAUAUUUCAGUUCAUUAGUUUACUUCCAGACACAAAAGUUGCGUUUUAGUAUUAUUUUUUGCGAAUCGUUCAGGUCAAUUAAUGGAAAUUAUAUUUAAAAGGGUAGAUUUGUUUUAUUUUGUUUUAUUUUGUUUUAAGUGUUAUUUGCCACUGUUCCUUAUUCAGAUAAGCCAUAAUCAACUUCUAUAAUUUACUUUUCUUCCACAUUUGAUCUUAUUUUGAAUAUUUUGACACUUGAGAUUCUUCUUCAUCAUCGUAUAAGGCGUCAUGGCCAGUUUUGGGCCUUUCCAAGAAAAUAUGAAAAUGCAUAAUAUUUUCUGCUGCAUAACAAAGUGUAUAUAACUAUUGUUAGAGUGUUUUUUAAUUUACUUUCUAUUUAAUCCUUUCAACUAGUGCUGUACUUAUGCUUAGAUCAUGAUAAUCUAUGCUUGCUAUAAUGAAUGCAUUUAUUGUUUGUUUUAGUCAUAUAGUUAUAAUCAAAUUGAUUUAAUAAAAUAUAGGCCUACUCUAGUGUCUGGUCUUCUGAAGUGUCAUAAGUAUAUUUCUUUAAUGAAUUGAUAGAGGUUCAUUCGCUUGGUUUCAAAAGAGAUAAAAUCACCAACAACAUUUCGAAAAUACAGCAGAAUUUUCACAAUUUUUGAUUGUUUAUACUUUAUCAAAAAUGUAUAAAUGUUAGUCUCAUUUCAGGGGCGUAGCCAGAGGCUAGUGUUUUUAGCAUGAUUUUGGUCGACAAAUUUCAAAUGGGGCCAUUUUGCCCCCCUUCCAGUAUGUCCAACAAUCCAAAAACCUAGCUACGCCCCUGCAUUUCUUUUUGAAUUUUUGAAAAAUGGAAUAAAAC